GCCUGGGUGGCUCAGGUGGUUAAGCAUCUGACUUUGGCUCAGGUCAUGAUCUCACAGUUUGUGGGUUCAAGCCCUGUAUCAGGCU
rnacentral:tRNA from 1 species